CGUAUACUCCCUCCGUUCGGAAUUACUUGUCUCGAAAAUGGAUGUAUCUAGAACUAAAAUACAUCUAGAUACAUCCAUUUCUACGACAAGUAAUUCCGAACGGAGGGAGUAAAUA
rnacentral:pre_miRNA from 1 species